AUUGAACGCUGGCGGCAUGAUUUACACAUGCAAGUCGAACGGUAACAGGCCGCAAGGUGCUGACGAGUGGCGAACGGGUGAGUAAUGCAUCGGAACGUGCCCAGUCAUGGGGGAUAACUACUCGAAAGAGUAGCUAAUACCGCAUACGAUCUAUGGAUGAAAGCGGGGGACAGUAAGGCCUCGCGCGAUUGGAGCGGCCGAUGUCAGAUUAGGUAGUUGGUGGGGUAAAGGCUCACCAAGCCAACGAUCUGUAGCUGGUCUGAGAGGACGACCAGCCACACUGGGACUGAGACACGGCCCAGACUCCUACGGGAGGCAGCAGUGGGGAAUUUUGGACAAUGGGCGCAAGCCUGAUCCAGCAAUGCCGCGUGCAGGAAGAAGGCCUUCGGGUUGUAAACUGCUUUUGUACGGAACGAAACGGCUCUGGUUAAUACCCGGGGCUAAUGACGGUACCGUAAGAAUAAGCACCGGCUAACUACGUG
rnacentral:rRNA from 1 species